rnacentral:rRNA from 1 species
UACCUCAGUAACGGCGAGUGAAGCGGUAACAGCUCAAAUUUGAAAGCUAGCUCUUUUAGGGUUCGCAUUGUAAUUUGUAGAAGAUGCUUCGGGUGUGGCCCCGGUCUAAGUUCCUUGGAACAGGACGUCAUAGAGGGUGAGAAUCCCGUAUGUGACUGGGUGCUUUCGCUCAUGUGAAGCUCUUUCGACGAGUCGAGUUGUUUGGGAAUGCAGCUCAAAAUGGGUGGUAAAUUUCAUCUAAAGCUAAAUAUUGGCCAGAGACCGAUAGCGCACAAGUAGAGUGAUCGAAAGAUGAAAAGCACUUUGGAAAGAGAGUUAAACAGUACGUGAAAUUGUUGAAAGGGAAGCGCUUGCAACCAGACUUGCGCGCUGAUGAUCAUCCGGGCUUCUGUCCGGUGCACUCGUCUGCGCUCAGGCCAGCAUCGGUUUCGGUGGUGGGAUAAAGGCCUUGGGAAUGUAGCUUCUUUCGGGGAGUGUUAUAGCCCUCGGUGCAAUGCCGCCUACCGGGACCGAGGACCGCGCUUCGGCUAGGAUGCUGGCGUAAUGGUUGUAAGCGACCCGUCUUGAAACACGGACCAAGGAGUCUAACAUCUAUGCGAGUGUUUGGGUGUCAAACCCAUACGCGUAAUGAAAGUGAACGGAGGUGAGAACCCUUAAGGGUGCAUCAUCGACCGAUCCUGAUGUCUUCGGAUGGAUUUGAGUAAGAGCAUAGCUGUUGGGACCCGAAAGAUGGUGAACUAUGCGUGAAUAGGGUGAAGCCAGAGGAAACUCUGGUGGAGGCUCGCAGCGGUUCUGACGUGCAAAUCGAUCGUCAAAUUUGCGUAUA